ACCAGGUACAAAAUCCCCUGGGACAAAACAGAACUUUCAUAACUGGCUGUAGAGUUAUUGUUUUUGCCUUUUGGAAGCUUCCACCUUGUGACGGGAAGAGCACUGUCAGCCCAACACAGAAACUCUGCCGCCUGGAGUCACGUGGAUCCAGAUGCGAAGGGACUCCAACGUCAUGCUAAGGAGUUUGGGCUAAGAAUUUGUACAGCCAUAUUACAGAUUUGGAAAAUGAUGUGAAGAGAAGCUAAGGGAUUUGCCACUGCCACUCAGCUGCCAAGGAUCAGAGACAUUACUUCUACUUCUCAACGUCCAUCCUCCAACCAUUGUCCAGUGAUUCAGGCAGAAUUCCCUCCUGCUCAGGAGGUAGCCAUCCUGUGACCCUGGAAGAAACCAGCCCAAGGAAGGUGCUAACCUACAGAAGAAGGACAUGGCCAGGGUAAUCACAUAGACCCGGAGUUGAAGCCCUGACUGCACCACACCCGAAGCCUCCCCACCUUUCAACCUCUCGGUGAUGGUGAACCAAUAAACUCUUUUUAUUGUUCAAGCCAAAAAAAAAAAAAAA
rnacentral:lncRNA from 1 species